rnacentral:rRNA from 1 species
GAUGAACGCUAGCUACAGGCUUAACACAUGCAAGUCGAGGGGUAACGAGAGGAAAGCUUGCUUUCCUUGUCGACGACCGGCGCACGGGUGAGUAACGCGUAUCCAACCUGCCCCCAACUAGGGAAUAACCUUGCGAAAGUAAGACUAAUACCCUAUAAUUUCCUCAGAUGACAUCUGACGAGGAAUAAAGAUUUAUCGGUUGUGGAUGGGGAUGCGUCUGAUUAGCUUGUUGGAGGGGUAACGGCCCACCAAGGCAACGAUCAGAAGGGGUUCAGAGAGGAAGGGCCCCCACAUUGGAACUGAGACACGGUCCAAACUCCUACGGGAGGCAGCAGUGAGGAAUAUUGGUAAAUGGGCGGAAGCCUGAACCAGCCAAGUAGCGUGCAGGAUGACGGCCCUAUGGGUUGUAAACUGCUUUUAUACAGGAAUAAAGUUAGCCACGUGUGGUUAUUUGUAGGUACUGUAUGAAUAAGGACCGGCUAAUUCCGUGCCAGCCGCCACCGUAA